GGAAGUAAAGCACAUUGAAUACAUCUCUAUUUCCCAUUAAUUCCUUUGUUUCGUAUUCUUAUUUAUGGAUAUUUUUUCUUCUUAAAGUCGAAAGUUCUUAAACUUAAAAGAGGGUAAGAGGGUGAAGGCUAUCUCGAUCUUUAGUUCAUCAACCAACUGCACACUUGUUUCUCGAGCACGUUCUAUAUUAUCUAUGAUACUUAAUAGUUAGUACAUCUUGAGCUAGAUUUGUGCCCAACCAAGGGAUAUUGGCCAAAUUAUUAUUAGGGAAUGUGUUGCUGGCUUUUAUUUGCUAGACGACACAAGGAAUUCACGUGCAGCAAGCAGGAGCAGAAAGGCAAAGGGCUAUUGAAAUUUAAGAAACCCUCUGCCCUAAACGUGAUGCUGAAGAAGCCCUUUGCAUUGAAUUAACAUCUGCUACAUGUGUCAGUUUCAGAUUCAUCAAUACUUCCUAUAAAGGUGCUCUUUGACCUAAAUUCACGACGAAUUUUUGGUACGGGUGAGAAUUUGAACUUUAGUUACCUUUACGAGCAAGGUCAUGUCUUUUUAUACAGCUUAUACCCAUGUUUCUAGAGCUACUCGGUCCAUUAGGACACAAAUUUAAUGCAAUUUUUUCUAUUGGCUCCUAUGUUUCUAAGCUUGUAGCCUUAUUGAUGUAACCCACUAAAUGCUUGUUCGGGAUGAACAUCUAAUUCUCUGUAAGGUUUUUGAAAUUAGAA